rnacentral:lncRNA from 1 species
CCUGUGCGACAGAGUGAGACUCCAUCUCACAAAAAAAAAGACAUUAUUCUCAUGAAAACAGUCAUGACAGUCAUGAACAAGUAGUCCUAUUUGUACAAAAUGAAAUACAAAUGACUAAUAAAUAGGUAAAAAGAUAUUCAACUUCACCAAUAACAAAGGAAUGUAAGUUAGAAAAAAAGAAAUGUAAUUUUCACUCAUCAGAGUAACAAACUUUUAUCAUAUCAAAUAUUGAUGAUGUUGUAAAGAAAUGAAUACUCUUUUUUACAGCUUAGUAGUAUUCCAUGGUAUACGUAUAUUCUGUAUUUUCUUUAUCCACUCAUUGGUUGAUGGGCACUUAGGUUGAUUCCAUAUCUUUGCAAUUGUGAAUUGUGCUGUGAUAAAUAUACACUGUUUUUGUAAGUAUAAAUUUUUGCAGCUAUUUACAGUACAAUUUUGGCAGUGUCUAUUAGAGUGAAAAAUAAUGUCUCCUCUGACUCAGCAAUUCAUUUCUGUUUCUACCUUAAGGAUGCACUUGCAUGUGCCCUGUAUGAAAGUACAAGCAUGUUAACUGCAGCAGUGUUAGUUACAGGCAAAAUUGGAAAUGAACAUCAAAACUGGGAUAAGAGCACCAUGGUAAAUCUGGACUAUGUAGUACUUGCAAAAGAUGCAGAUAAGCCUACGUGUACCAAUGUGGAAAGGUCUGUGAAACAUAUUGUUCACUGCAAAAAAUAACAAUUCCAAAAAAAGAAGUAUAGAUAAAAAAAUUUGGGUAUAAAAUCAACCCACAUACAAAAUAUAGAUCUUUGUAUAGUUGCAUACCUCUCUACAUGUUUGUAUAUGUUUUACAUACGUAUCUAUCUCUAUCUAUCAUCUAUCUCUCUCUCUCUCUAUCUAUCUAUCUCUCUAUCAUCUAUCUAUCUAUCUAUCUAUCAAGAGAUUGAUUUCAAUUCAAAGUAAAGUAACAGUAUAUUUGGAUGCAGAGCAAACAUAAGAGUGGCCUCCUCUACAAAAGGGACUCAAGAUAGAAAUCUGAAAAGCACAGAAAACUACAAAGGUAAAAAUAAACAACUAUAUUCCUAUGGUACCUUCUUUUAGCAUUUUUCUCUAUAUCCUUCCAGCCAUUUUUCUAUAUAGGUAUAGGGCAAGUUGGAAGUCUUGAUCUGCAGCAAAGGACCUUAUUUUAGAGGCAAAAAAUAUAUUAGUGUUAGUGAAUAGAUGUAGAAGAAAUUGAAAUCUGUGAACUCUGAGAAUUCAGGGGACGAUGUACCGAUCACUGACACCUUGGGGAGAAACAGACAAUGGGGAGAUAAACUGUGAAAUGUGCCCAUUGCUGGAACUUGAAGAGUGGAUGAGGAGUUUGAUGGAAUGGUAUGGAGGGGCCAAAUGCCACUGAAUCACUCAGGCACCCUCCUCCCCCAGUCACCUUAAUCAUGCCCUGUUUAUACAAACAAUAGCACAAUGAGAAAAAUGUAGAUACAACUGGAGGAACCCACCCAGGAAAAGUGUUUGGUAGAGUUUUGCAGAAGAUAGGAUAAGAUCUAGAGGAGAAGAAUUGGAAUUAUAAAUACAGUGGUUAAUUCUAGGCUCUACAUGUGUGGGAAUUUGGGCCAAUUUUGCUUUUAUAUUUCCCAGGGGAAAAAUGUCUGUUUCAACUAUAUUUUCAAAUUUAUUAUUAUAAAGUUUUUCAUAGUGUUAAUAUCUUCUUGAAAUUUUCAAACAUCAUACUUAUCCACGUGUCAGGAUUUUUUGGUUUUUAAUGUUAUUUGUUUCUUAUCCUUCUUGAUCCUAUUUGCCUAGGGUUUAUCUGUUUUAUGAGUCAUUUCAAAGAACAAGUUUUGGUUUUGCUGAUUAACUCAUUUCUGGGGAGGGAAAAUGUUUUUCAUUAAUUACAGUUUCUAGCUUAUAUUUUGUUCUUUCGAAUUUCGUUGGGUUUAUUUUCUUCCAUUUCCCUGUCCACUAAUGGGAUUUUGGAUUUCCUCUUCUCUGCAUUGCCUGUACAUUGCCUGGAGGCAGCAACGCAUAUGGCUAAUAAAACAUAUUGAGGAUGAAUGAGAAAACAACCUGGUUCCUGGAAGGAGAGAAACAAGGUGGAGUCUUCUCACAGAAACAAGGAGAAGACACCACAAGCUCAAGAGGCUGCAUUAGCGUUUUUUAUUGGAGGCAUUUUCUUUUCCUCCAGAUUUUGUUUUUGACUGUUAAGGUCAUAGCUACAAACAAUUGAUCAAGCCUAAAAGGGCAUUUAUAAACCACCUGCAUCUACAUUUUUUUCUUACUGUGGAUGGAUUUAAAAAGCCGUUUCAAGAUGAAAUCUUAUGAGUCAUUAUCAUGUCUUCUGAGGGCUGAGAUAUAACUUUGAAGUAGAGCCCAAACAUGAAGAUCAUGAAGAUGGCUUCUUCUCCAAAUGAUGUUAUCUUAAAAACUUGAAAAAGACAAAAAAAAAAAAAAAAAAAAAGAAGAAGAAAAAGAAAAAAGAAAGAAAAAAAGAGAGAGCGAGCCAAGGGAACUUGAAUCAGACAAACCUGGUUCAAAGUGAUUAUUCAACAAAUGUAAGCUGUUAUCAUCUUGUCCUCCAUCAUUCAAAUAUGUCCUGUAUAGAUCUUCCAUUAAUUUCAAAUAUCUAAUGAUCUACACCAUCAAAUAUUAUGAAGGUGAUGUUUAGCAGGUCAUUGGCUAAGACAGGCUCUACCUCAGUCUCUAAUAGAGAAGGAAAGACAAGUAGCAUUUACUAACACCCACAGUAUGCUUCAUAUUGUUGCCAGAAAUUUCAAAUGCACCAUCUAUUGAUGCAUGGAAUCCUUUCAACAUUCUUAGAAGACAAGACCUCCACCCUCUGCAAAACAUCUUCCCAGGAUUAUGGGAAGUGCCCAAGAUGUGGUCACGGGUGUACCACAGCCAGUUGGCUUCUGUGGUACUCUGCCGCUGCGCCUGCCUCCACUUCUGUGGUUCAUCCCCAACUCCCAUGGAAGUUGGAGCACUUUCACGGAACCCUGCGGUUCUUUCCAACAUGCAGCAGCCACCAGCCACAGUCACCUGCAACCACAAAUCAGCAAAGCCCCACAGCCCCGAAUCUCCACUGAGGUUUGUAAUGAAGUGGGACUUCAAGUUUAAGUCUUUCUCCGAGGCUAUUACGGCCUGCCAGUAGGGGCUCUCCAUGUGCACUGCUCAAACCAUUAUGCUCUAUAACUGUUUUCAGUGUAAGGCUCUUUACGCUUUGUUAGUAAUCUCUUGCUCUCCGGAGCCCAGAGAGUGACAGAUUCGUAACAGACCCCUGUUCACUCCUCGUUGCCUCUCCCCUGUGCUGAGAGGGCUUCUCAUUGGCUCAGGUGCAUCCCCUGUGCUGCUUCUCCCCUCAGGAUGCCCUCUUCAUCUAGAGGUUUCUCCAGGGAACCUGCCUGGCUCACUCACCUAACAAGCUAAGAAAUGUCUGAACCGUCUUUAAAUUCAAGCCAGGAGCCUAGAAGUAGUCCUAGGGAAAACGAAACAAAACAAAACAAAACAAAACAAAACCAACAAACAAACAAACACGACUGGAAAGAAAUACAUGGAGAAGUUAACAGGAGGGCUCCUUGGAGAGAUGGUUAAUUCUGGGGCUGGCCUGGGAAGGAUGAGAUGAGGCUGAAGCACCUUGCUGUGCCGGAACAUCAGGACGUGCUCAAAAAGUGAUGAGGCCAGGGCCUGAUGGAAGAGGCUCCCAGCAACCAAACCUGCCAAGGUUUGAGCACCAAAAAAACAGCAACAGUGAUUCUAUAACCCAUGAGAAUAAAAGAAUCAGUCCAUGAUGACAUAGGUAAGUAAAUAAAGAGAAAUACAUAGAAAGCUUCUUUUUACAGUAGAAUUUCAACUAAUAAAUAUCCAAGAGAUGAUGGGGAAAAUGUUGAAGUGGUUUAUCACAUAGAUGAGACCAUGGAUUUUUUUUCUUUUUUCUGAUCACCCUUUCUAAUUAUUUUUAUUUUUUUGCAAUGAAUAAUUGCUUGUAUAAUAAAAAUGCAAAAAGUCACCUGCAGUAGAUCGCCUGUGAAGUUAUAUUCUUAUUGUAUCUCUCAUGAGCGACAUUUGUCUCCUACUUUUAUGCUAAUGAAUUUUUGAUAGGCCCUAUCUUGCAUUUCUUUUUCCUAUUUACGUAUUUUAGAAAGAGGACAGCACAGGUGCUUCCCAGCAGGGCCACCCUGCACAAAGGCACCCAGUAGGCUGCAGAGUGAGGCUGAAAGUUAACCCCUGAUCUUUGCGUUAAACUGUGACGACUGGUGCACGGUUGCAUCUGCCCAUAAGGCCACUGUUUCCUAACUCACACAUGAUUCUGUCCUAGCUGCUGUGUCCUUCAAAAUAGUCUGUGUGGGUUUACCUGGUUGCUGCUAGAAUUCUUCUUUUUGAUCUCAAGGUCAAAGCCUGGUGGCAUGAACAGCAUUACCUGUUCAGCCGUGCGUCACUAAAGGUGUGAGGAGGUUGAGAUCAAGAGCAGUCUAGUUAGGAAGUGUCAUCUCUUCAAGUUUCCUCCCCUGAGUUUGUUGAACUUGCAGGGCAUGAGGUCACCUUCCUCAUCUGAUUUUCCCAUUCUCUAUUCCAAAUACAUGGCAUGGCUGUGGCCAGAUUCUUGCCACUCUAGGAGGUGAGUGGAAGGAUGUCCAGUUGCUUUAGGAAACUGUUCUUCCAUCACUGAGAAGCCAGGCCAGCUCACAAUUUAUGUUUCAUGAGGAUUACUUGUUCUUUCAGAAGUCACUGACAAAUGUUGGUCCCUACUGGCAAUGAGGUAGCUCUGCAUCUUUUCUCAGAACCACUCUGACAGGUAACUCUUGCCUCUCUCUAAUUCAGAGAUGUUGGUGAAAUACUCCUCUGCUCCGUUUACUCUGCAUCACUUUCUAGGAAAGAAAAGUGAUGAGUCAGCUCUUGACACUGUGCCUUCAGUGUGAUCCCCCUACAUUCUAGAAAACAGCAAUGCCUCAAAGCUGAUUCUCAACGCUGCUACAGGCUUUUUCUCUAUUUGGGGUUUCUAUUGAUUCUUUCCGUCAUUAUCUUUCCUAAAAGGGCAGCGUAUAAAGGGGAAUAGUUGCACAAAGGGGUAUUUUAAGAAUAAUUCGCCUUUAGGUGUGUGCUUCCAGAAGACACUGGUGGAGAAACUACUUCUGUGGGAGAAAAAGUACAGUGGCCUCUAGGGUGAGAACUCAAGGUGUCAGCAGCACCUACAUAAAGCAAGACACCAGCCAUGUGCCACCACACUGCCACCAGGAGACAGGUCCUGCUUGUGUUGAUCCCUGGUGACAUGACCAGAACCAAAACAAACGAACAAACAAACAAACAAACAACCUUAAAGUAGGUAAAGAUCUUGAAGGUGGCAAAAUGAUGCCAAUCCAAGAAGAAACCAAUUCCUAAUGUGAAAUGGAUACACUGACCCUGCCAACCAAGGGCAUUGUCUUUCCCAGUUUGAACAAAACCACAAUCCAUUAACUCCAGUAUUGAUGAUUUUCUUCUAUUCUAGGCCCUGAGCUCUUUUUGGGUCAACUGCAGCUGCAACUCUAGAGCGACAAUAAGGAUGUGUUUGAGGUGCUGAGGGAGGAGGAGGAUGGAGUGAGAAGGUGACAACAUUCAGCCAGGUGCCCCCAAAACAUGGAGGCAAGAGAAAGAGAAUUUGUCCAAGUGCAAGGUCUGCAGGCAGUGCAGGGCAGCUACCAGCAGGGCCCAUUUUUAUGGGAUUGUGAAAGGUGAUUCUGGAAAGGCAGGCAGCAGCUACAACAUGAAAGAUCUUUGGACUGUGUCUGUAUAUGAUAAGAAGUCAAAGAAGUAUCUUUAAAACAAGAGGAGCAAAGAGAGCUCAUCCUGGUAACAGAUGGAGGGUUAGGCUUGCCUAAGUUUACAGAAGUAGGUAAUGACAGGGCUAAGAGAGAACUCAGCUCAUUUUAAUUCCAUAUUGCUUAUCUUUCUCUUGUGCUUUGCAGUGUGUGUGUGUAUGUGUGUGUGUGCGUGUGUGUAGGGAGGAGGGGUGAGAUUGGCAAAAGUUGAGCCAGAUUAUACUGAUUAAUUAGUUCAACACCCAUUUUGCUGAGAGCAUACCGUGCCCACAGUGCUGAGUUGAGCAAACUUAAGAGGUGAUAUGAAAGGAGCAAAAGUGCUUAAAAAUCUGGGAAAGGGUAUCCAUCCCUGGUGCAUUGGUUUUGAUUAUUCCUCAGCUAUAUAAACAUCCAAAGAGAUGACCUCAUAUAUUCCACAGGCAUGACCGAAGAUUAUGGCACAGAUGUUCUGAAAUAAACAAUGUUAGUGCAAGCACAUAGCUGCACAGUCCUGUAAUGGUCCCGAGAAGAGCUUAGACCAUUUUUUUAAAAAACAUAAACCACAAGUUAAGGCUAAAUCAGAAAGAAAAUAGAAACCUUUCUUCAUCUGCUCUGUUCUUGGUUUCAUGUUUUAUAGAUGGCCUGGGAAGCCCUCUGCACGCCUUUCUCAACUAAGGAAUUUGUGGAAGUAGAAUUUCUUCUGUUGACAGAAUUCUGCUGAGAACUGAAUUUUCUGCUGUUUUCAUUACUCUUUUCUAAAUGUUUCACAGUUCUGUUUUUUUUACAGCCAGAUUUCCAUUUGAUACUGGUUGUGGUUACACUAAAAGUAACAUCUAUGGCCAAAUGGCUGGAAAUUUUACAUUUUUGACACCGAGAUUUUUCCUGUACUUCACGGAGGGCAAGGGUUAUACCCUAUUUUUUCCCAGUCUCCCACAGUGCCCAACCCAGACGACCGUACAUAAUAAGCGCUUUAUUCUCAGCACUGCUGUAUGCCUCAUUGGAACAGGAUGCCCAAGGUGAUGGCUGCAGAAAUGGAUGGAUUGGAGCGUGACUUGCCAAGACAGGUAUGUAGAAAUUAUUGUGGAGUGACGUGGCAUGAUCUCAGCUUACUGCAGCCUCAACCUCCCGGGCACAGGUGAUUCUCCAACCUCAGCCUUGGAGUAGC